UACAGAGGGUGCGAGCGUUAAUCGGAUUUACUGGGCGUAAAGGGCGCGUAGGCGGUUGUAUGAGUGUGAUGUGAAAGCCCCGGGCUCAACCUGGGAAGUGCAUCGCAAACGAUACGACUAGAGUAUAUGAGAGGGUGGCGGAAUUUCCGGUGUAGCGGUGAAAUGCGUAGAUAUAGGAAGGAACACCAGUGGCGAAGGCGACCACCUGGACUGAUACUGACACUGAGGUGCGAAAGCGUGGGGAGCAAACAGGAUUAGAAACCCGAGUAGU
rnacentral:rRNA from 1 species